AACGCUGGCGGCGCGCUUAACACAUGCAAGUCGAGCGAGAACCAGGGCUUCGGCCCUGGGGACAGCGGCGAACGGGUGAGUAACACGUGGGUAAUCUGCCCUCGGCACCGGAAUAGCCCGGGGAAACCCGGAUUAAUGCCGGAUGGCCCCUUCACCUCGCGAGGUGUCGGGAAAAGGUAGCUUCGGCCUCUGGCCGAGGAUGAGCCCGCGGCGGAUUAGCUUGUUGGCGGGGUAACGGCCCACCAAGGCGACGAUCCGUAGCUGGUCUGAGAGGACGAUCAGCCAGGCGGGGACUGAGACACGGCCCAGACUCCUACGGGAGGCAGCAGUGGGGAAUCUUGCGCAAUGGGCGAAAGCCUGACGCAGCGACGCCGCGUGAGGGAAGAAGGCCUUCGGGUUGUAAACCUCUUUCAGGGGGGACGAAGCUACUCGGGUGAAUAGCCCAGAGGGUGACGGUACCUCCAGAAGAAGCCCCGGCUAACUACGUGCCAGCCGCCGCCGUAA
rnacentral:rRNA from 1 species